rnacentral:rRNA from 1 species
CGGAGAACGAGUACAGUGGCGAACGGGUGAGUAACGGGUGGAAAACCUGCCCUUCAAUGGGGAAUAACAGUUCUAACGAGCUGCUAAUACCGCAUACGACCUUUGGAUCGCAUGUUCCGAAGGUGAAAGGUGGCCUCUCUUUGAAGCUGCCGUUGAAGGAUGGUUCCGCCUCCCAUUAGCUUGUUGGUGGGGUAAUGGCCUACCAAGGCGACGAUGGGUAGCCGGCCUGAGAGGGUGUCCGGCCACACUGGGACUGAGAUACGGCCCAGACUCCUACGGGAGGCAGCAGUCGAGAAGCUUCCGCAAUGGGCGAAAGCCUGACGGAGCGACGCCGCGUGAGUGAAGAAGGCCCUAUGGGUUGUAAAACUCUGUCAGAUUGGGAAGAAAGCACUGCGGUUAAUACCCGUGAUGUUUGACGGUACCAUCAGAGGAAGCACCGGCUAACUCCGUGCCAGCAGCCGCGGUAAUACGGAGGGUGCAAGCGUUGUUCGGAUUCACUGGGUAUAAAGGGUGCGCAGGCGGACUGAUAAGUCAGAGGUGAAAUAUGUCGGCUCAACCGGCAAACGGCCUCUGAAACUGCCAGUCUUGAGUUCGAGAGAGGUAGGUGGAAUUCCAGGUGUAGCGGUGAAAUGCGUAAAUAUCUGGAGGAACACCGGUGGCGAAGGCGGCCUACUGGCUCGAUACUGACGCUCAGGCACGAAAGCAUGGGGAGCGAACGGGAUUAGAUACCCCGGUAGUCCAUGCCGUAAACGAUGGGUACUAGGUGUUGGAGGAUUCUACCCCUUCAGUGCCGCAGCUAACGCAUUAAGUACCCCACCUGGGGAGUACGAUCGCAAGGUUGAAACUCAAAGGAAUUGACGAGGGCCCGCACAAGCGGUGGAGCAUGUGGUUUAAUUCGAUGCAACGCGAAGAACCUUACCUGGACUUGACAUGCAGGGGACAGGUGUAGAAAUACACUCUUCUUCGGACUCCUGUACAGGUGCUGCAUGGCUGUCGUCAGCUCGUGUCGUGAAAUGUUAGGUUAAGUCCUGCAACGAGCGCAACCCCUGUCUUUAGUUGCCAACAGGUUAUGCUGGGGACUCUAGAGAGACUGCCGGUGA